GAUGAACGCUGGCGGCGUGCCUAAUACAUGCAAGUCGAGCGAACGGACGAGAAGCUUGCUUCUCUGAUGUUAGCGGCGGACGGGUGAGUAACACGUGGAUAACCCACCUAUAAGACUGGGAUAACUUCGGGAAACCGGAGCUAAUACCGGAUAAUAUUUUGAACCGCAUGGUUCAAAAGUGAAAGACGGUCUUGCUGUCACUUAUAGAUGGAUCCGCGCUGCAUUAGAUAGUUGGUAAGGUAACGGCCUAUCAAGGCAACGAUGCAUAGCCGACCUUAGAGGGUGGUAGCCCGCACUGGAAGGUAACCUCCCUCAUGACUCCUGCGAGACGCCGCAGGAGGGGAUCGUCGGCAGUGGGAGAGAGCAUGGCAGAGUAGCGCCGCGCGAGUGAUGGAGAUCUUCGGUUCGUAAAACUCUGUUAUUAGGGAAAAACAUAUGUGUAAGUUAAUGUAGACAUAGUGACGGUACCUAAUCAGAAAGCCACGGCUAACUACGUG
rnacentral:rRNA from 1 species